rnacentral:lncRNA from 1 species
UUAAUUUCAGCCCCCAAAAGCAAUAUACACUCAAUUAUUCAUCUUUUCUCUCAAAGAAAAACCGUAGCCUCAUCAAGAACUUCAUCAAUUUUUCUUCAAGAAAAGUAAGAACUCAAGCUUCCUAAUUUAAGAAUGCUUUCAAGAUUGUGUUUCUCCUUAAAGAUUAAAGCUUUAAGGUAUGUUGGAGUUCAUCCAUGGGUCCUCUUUCACCCAUGGAACCCAAAAACUCUUUUCUUUUAAUUAAAUAAUGAAUUUUCCAUUACUAUGGUAUUUUGUAUGUUCAAGAAAGAUUGAAUUUCAUGUUUUCAUGAUGUUUUUAAUUCAAUUCAUCUCAUGUAUGAUUUCAUGAAAGAUUUUAAAUUCCUAAUGCUAUGACUUUGAAUUUUCCAUGCUUUAUUCAAGUAAAUUCCAUGAUAGAUUCUAAAUUCAAGAUGUUUAACAAUAUUCUCAUGUUUUAAAUUCAUGCCUUCCACAAGUUUGAUGAAAUUCCCAUAUUAUGUUAAGUCAAUUUCAAGAUGAAUCCCCAAGUUAUGAAUUUUUCUAUGUAACUCUAUUAUUCCCUCAUGAUUAUGACAUUCUUAUGCUCAAGUUAUGAACUUUACAUGUUUUGAUGAAAUAUCCAUAUCCUAUUUCAAGCAAAUUACAUGUGAAUUCCCCAAUUCAUGAUUUUGGUUAUGUAAUAAUGCUAUGCUAUCAUGUUUAAGAUAUUCUCAUGUCCAAGUUCAUGAUCCCCAUGUAUUUGGUGAAUUUCUUCAUAUUAAUGUAUUUAUCUUCACGAUCUUGAUAGAAUGAUCAUGUGAAUUAAAUAGGGUAAUCAUGACAUGUUACCAUGUGUUCUCAUUCAUGUACAAGUCCAUAACCUCCAAGUGUUUGAUAAAAUGUCUCAGUGAAUGAAUUGUGAACAAUUGACUAUGGCUAUGCUUUUCAAGAUCAUGCUAUGCUUUACUUUCCAUGCUAUCGAAUCCUGGAGGUAUUCAACACCCAAAAAUCUAGUUAUUUACCAAGAGCUACAGUGGUUAUAGAAUAGUGUCAAUAAAGUCAUCAUCAGUAGUACUCAAUUAGUUAGAACUUAGUGUAUUAAGUCAGACAUCAGAACUCAGUGAACUCAGUCCAGUUCAGUCAGUUAACACGAUCAGUAACAGUGCAAUCUAGCCUAGUACGGUUUAGAAAUAAGUUUUGUGUUUAUUUCAGUUGGGUGUAAGAUUCAGUACUGAGAAAACCUAAGGAUAGGGACUCACUUGCCAGCAGAGGGUUUGAUCCUUAGAAGCAGUCGUUGUGUUCCAAAAAUACAUAGCUAGCAUAGCUUGAGACAUCAACCUGCCAGAUUGAGGGUUGAUGAGGUGUAUUACCUGCUAGUUUAGGGUACUAACAUUCUCAUUCAGAGCACCUGCUAAAUUAAGGGUGACUCUUCAGCUUGUCUUUACCUGUGUCACAAUACAGACACCCUUCCAACAGAGGUUGCAGGUUGGACCCCAAUCCAUUCAGAGAGGGGCAUGUCAGUCAUAUGAUUACCUCCCAUAUUUUCUGUUUCAGUGUCAGACAGUAAAAAACUCAGUUCAGUUCUGCAAAAUUAUGACUGUAAAAAAUAGUCACCUAGUUAUCAGUAACUUAAUUAUCAGUAAUCGAAGCUAUCAGUUACUCAAUUAUCAAAACUCAGUAUUCAGUUCCAGUAUGAUUCUCAGUUAUAGCCUCAAUUACAGUCUUAGUUAUAGUCUCAGUCUCAAUCUCAGUCGAGUAAUCAGGUCAGUAACUUAAUUCAAUUUUAGGUUUGCUUUACCAUAGCAUACAAUUAUCAAUUAUUUAGUUAUCAGUAUUUUUGUACCUUAGUUUACAAACUAUUAUAGAAUCAUGUUAUAUGCUUGGUCUUGCAUUCUCAGAUAAUAUAGUUUUCAUGAAUUCAUGCUCAUUUAUCUCAUGUUACUCAGUCAGUCCUUACCUCAUAUGCAUAAUAAUCUACAGUUUCAGUCCAGUUAUUCAGACUAAGUACAGUUCAAUCUUACAUGCCCAAUAUUCAGCUAUCAGACAUACAGUUAAUUAGAUAAGUUAGUAUGUUUAUGCAUUCAUGAUUAGUGUGACUGUAUAUUUAGAUCCUCAAUUUAUGUCAGUCUCCAUCACGUAGUUUUAGACCCAGUAUUCGUGCAGUAUCUAUGUUUUUUAUCUUAUCCUAGCUACAUUUAUACUUAUAUCAUUAAAUCAAAGUUUUACAGAAACUAAGUGUAGAGAUUCACCAUCUUAUCUGAGAAUGUUUGUCACUCAUGCUUUAAGAUAUUUCAGUUUUCUCUUUAUUCCAUCCUAUUUGUGAGUCUACUUACACUUAGCAUGCAUGUUUUACGAUUAUAUAUGAAAUUAGUUUUUCUUAUUACAUUCACCCCUACAUACUCAGUACAUUCCAGAAUUACUGAUCUACCUAUACGUCUGUGUGGCAACAUUCUUUCAUAACCUAGGUACUAAUUGUAGUCUGUACAUCACGAUCAGACAAUUGUAGAUUCCAUCCAGCA